GACUUACAAAAUUAAUAAUUAACUAUUGCUCAACUCGAAGUCAGUUAUAUUUCCUGUUUCCGUUUUUAGAUUAAGUGUCUGCUUCAAUCGGUCAGGCUUUGGUGGUAAGGGUGGUUUUAUAUCUUGAGACUUUGGAUAAAUGUUGAGAAUAUUUGCAUUUGAAAUAGUCUCAACUUCUGAAGCUAUCGGGGAUGUAGAAGAGCGCUCUUUGGAUAUUUCGGAAGACUCAGAGUGGG
rnacentral:ribozyme from 1 species